rnacentral:rRNA from 1 species
AUGAUCUGGCAUGUACAUAAUGAAAACUUCAUUCUCGAUUCUACGAGAAUUUUUAUGAAAGCGUUUCAUUUGCUUCUCUUCAAUGGAAGUUUCAUUUUCCCAGAAUGUAUCCUAAUUUUUGGCCUAAUUCUUCUUCUUCUGAUCAAUUCAAACUCUGAUAAAAAUGAUAGACCUUGGUUCUAUUUCAUCUCUGCAACAAGUUUAGUAAUAAGCAUAACCUAUAAUUAG